rnacentral:rRNA from 1 species
UAGUUGGUGAGGUAAAAGCUCACCAAGGCGACGAUCUGUAGCGGGUCUGAGAGGAUGAUCCGCCACACUGGAACUGAGACACGGUCCAGACUCCUACGGGAGGCAGCAGUGGGGAAUUUUGGACAAUGGGGGCAACCCUGACCCAGCCAUGCCGCGUGAGUGAAGAAGGCCUUCGGGUUGUAAAGCUCUUUCAGCCGGGAAGAAAAUGCAUGGGUUAAUACCCUGUGCAGAUGACGGUACCGGAAUAAGAAGCACCGGCUAACUACGUGCCAGCAGCCGCGGUAAUACGUAGGGUGCGAGCGUUAAUCGGAAUUACUGGGCGUAAAGCGUGCGCAGGCGGUUUUGUAAGACAGGCGUGAAAUCCCCGGGCUUAACCUGGGAACUGCGUUUGUGACUGCAAGGCUAGAGUACGGCAGAGGGGGGUGGAAUUCCACGUGUAGCAGUGAAAUGCGUAGAGAUGUGGAGGAACACCAAUGGCGAAGGCAGCCCCCUGGGUCGAUACUGACGCUCAUGCACGAAAGCGUGGGUAGCAAACAGGAUUAGAUACCCUGGUAGUCCACGCCCUAAACGAUGUCAACUAGGUGUUGGGAGGGUAAAACCUUUUAGUACCGUAGCUAACGCGAGAAGUUGACCGCCUGGGGAGUACGGCCGCAAGGUUAAAACUCAAAGGAAUUGACGGGGACCCGCACAAGCGGUGGAUGAUGUGGAUUAAUUCGAUGCAACGCGAAAAACCUUACCUACCCUUGACAUGUCAGGAACUUUCCAGAGAUGGAUUGGUGCCCGAAAGGGAACCUGAACACAGGUGCUGCAUGGCUGUCGUCAGCUCGUGUCGUGAGAUGUUGGGUUAAGUCCCGCAACGAGCGCAACCCUUGUCGUUAAUUGCCAUCAUUCAGUUGGGCACUUUAACGAGACUGCCGGUGACAAACCGGAGGAAGGUGGGGAUGACGUCAAGUCCUCAUGGCCCUUAUGGGUAGGGCUUCACACGUCAUACAAUGGUCGGUACAAAGGGUCGCCAACCCGCGAGGGGGAGCCAAUCCCAUAAAGCCGAUCGUAGUCCGGAUUGUAGGCUGCAACUCGCCUGCAUGAAGUCGGAAUCGCUAGUAAUCGUGGAUCAGCAUGUCACGGUGAAUACGUUCCCGGGUCUUGUACACACCGCCCGUCACACCAUGGGAGCGGGUUCCGCCAGAAGUAGGUAGCCUAACCGCAAGGGGGGCGCUUACCACGGCGGGGUUCGCGACUGGGGUGAAGUCGUAACAAGGUA